rnacentral:rRNA from 1 species
GCAGUCGCCGCGGUAAUACGAAGGGUGCAAGCGUUACUCGGAAUUACUGGGCGUAAAGCGUGCGUAGGUGGUGGUUUAAGUCCGUUGUGAAAGCCCUGGGCUCAACCUGGGAAUUGCAGUGGAUACUGGGUCACUAGAGUGUGGUAGAGGAUAGUGGAAUUUCCGGUGUAGCAGUGAAAUGCGUAGAGAUCGGAAGGAACAUCUGUGGCGAAGGCGACUAUCUGGGCCAACACUGACACUGAGGCACGAAAGCGUGGGGAGCAAACAGGAUUAGAUACCCGUGUAGUCCCUGUCUCUUAUAC